AGCUUUAUAUUCAAUUAUGAUUUUAAAUUGCAAAUUUAAAGGUAAAAUUAAGUUUUUAAGGCUU
rnacentral:tRNA from 1 species